GAUGAACGCUGGCGGCGUGCCUAAUACAUGCAAGUCGAGCGAACAGAUGAGGAGCUUGCUCCUCUGACGUUAGCGGCGGACGGGUGAGUAACACGUGGAUAACCUACCUAUAAGACUGGGAUAACUUCGGGAAACCGGAGCUAAUACCGGAUAAUAUAUUGAACCGCAUGGUUCAAUAGUGAAAGACGGUUUUGCUGUCACUUAUAGAUGGAUCCGCGCCGCAUUAGCUAGUUGGUAAGGUAACGGCUUACCAAGGCAACGAUGCGUAGCCGACCUGAGAGGGGGAUCGGCCACACGGGAACUGAGACACGGUCCAGACUCCUACGGGAGGCAGCAGUAGGGAAUCUUCCGCAAUGGGCGAAAGCCUGACGGAGCAACGGCGCGUGAGUGAUGAAGGUCUUGGGAUCGUAAAACUCUGUUAUUAGGGAAGAACAAAUGUGUAAGUAACUAUGCACGUCUUGACGGUACCUAAUCAGAAAGCAACGGCUAACUACGUG
rnacentral:rRNA from 1 species